rnacentral:rRNA from 1 species
UUAUAAAACUACAUCCGUUCGAAUCGGAUAUUCUCUGCUUACGGGUUAGAGCCGGGUUGGUUAGGCGCCUCAUUUGGGUUGAGGAUAAGUUAUGUUCGAAUCAUAAUAACCCGAAAUAUAUAUUUAUUUUUUUUUUGUUUGUUUUUUUGUAUCAGAAUCUACUAUCAUUAACGGAUGCAGGUAGAAAGUAUUACAUUAGUAACAUAAUAUGUAAUGUGAUUUUUUAUCGUUCCGACGAUAUGAAGUAUAAAAAGAAACUAUUACAGAUAUAUCGCUAUAUGUCAAAGAUUAAAAGAGAAAUGUUCUAGGAAAAAUCCAUUUAUUAAACGAAGUGAAUUGAAAUAUCUUAGUAACUUUAGGAAAAUAAAUCAAAAGAGAUUCUAUUUUUCAAUAAAAAAAUUGAAAUAGAAAAGCCUUUAAAGUAAAACGUAAUCUAUUAUGUUUGAACAUAGGGAAACCUUUCUCUAAGGCUAAAUAUGAUGUAUAAGCAACAGUUAAAAGUACCGUGAGGGAAAUAUAAAAAAUAGUAGUUUUACAAGCAGCUUAAAUAUAAUUUCAAAGUUAAACGAAAGCGUACCUUUUGCAUAAUGGGUCAGCAAGUUAAUGUUAGAUGCAAGAUAGUCGUGUUAAACUUCAUGUCCUAGAUAAACCAAUUAUUAAAUAAUGAAUAAGUAUCUAACGUUAGACCCGAAGCCUAGUGAUCUUACCAUGAUCAGGAUUAUAAUAGUCCGAACGGCUUACCGUUGUAAUGGUAUCCGAUGAAUUGUGGUAAGUUAGUGAAAGACAAAACUGACUAGGAUAGCUGGUUUUCUGCGAAACCUAUAUAAGUAGGUGGUUUGAAUAACAUCAUAGCAGGUACAGUAUUGUAAUCCCAGGCGAAUUUAAAAGAUUUAAAUCAUUUAAGUCAUUUAUUUGCAUACAUUGGGGGAUCGUGAAGAUUUUAUCAGUGGGAAUUUGCUCUCGGAAGGGCAAUGAUGUAUUUUGAACUCUCAGACAUAGUACGAUAAGGUUGUAUGUCUAAAGGGAAACAGCCCAGAACAAGUAUUAAAGGUUCCAAAAUCAUUGUUAAGUGAAAAUAAGGAAGUAUUCUACGAACACAACCAGUAAAUAGGCUUAGAAGCGGCCAUUUUUUAAAGACCUCGUAACAGAGCACUGGUUAAAGGCAAGUAUCGUUUGAUGAUACUUGCCCUAAAGUUUAAAGCUCCGAAAAUUUAACGGAUCUAAAUAAUGUACCGAUAUCUUGUCUAUAGACAAAUGAUAUCAAUAUAACAUCAUUCAAACUAAUAAAUCAUCAAAAAAUGAUUAAUGAUGAUAUUAUUACAUUUGUUUAUGGGGUAGCAGAACAUUGGGUAAAUGUACCAUAUUAUAUUUUUAAUAUAAUAAGAAAAAAAAACUAUAUUGUUUGCACGCACAUGAUCAUUUGCGUGUAAUCUGAAAUAAAUAUUUAUUUAUGUGUAUCACAAUCCCAAUAGAAAAUGCUGGCAUGAGUAACGAAAAAGGGAUAACCCCUCGCCUUAAGCUUAUGGUAUCAUUUUUUUUAAGUAACGGCCCCUAAAUUUAUAAACUUGCCUAAAGGAUUUAAUGAUGGGAAAAAUAAUUUAGUGUGUAAUCUUUUUAAAAAUAUCCCUAUUACCACAUAAUCUUAUAUAUAUCUAACAACAUUAUAAAGAAAAAAAGUAAGCGUAACAAAGGUUUUUUCAGUAAAACUGUAGUGAAGCAUUUGUAAAGAUGGUGUUCCUAAUAUGUAUUUAAUGCGUGAAAGAGAGUAUGUAUGGGAAAUAUACUAAACCAUGGGUUAAAUGUGUGAAAAAUAAUUCGUGUCAAUCUUUUUUAUUUUAGUACCGGUCUUUAAUGUUCUGGAAAAAGAUAUAUUUAUGUAAACCGUACCUAGAUACUACCACAAGUAAGCAAGUAGAGUAUACAAAGGCGUUUGAGAUAACAAUCAUUAAGGAACUCGGCAAACUGACUCCGUAACUUCGGGAUAAGGUGUGCCAUUAUUCCAUAAAUAUAUUAAUGUGAAUAAUAGGAAGCAUAAAAUAGUGUUGUACGACUGUUUAAUUAAAACAAAGCACUUUGCAUAAGAUGUAAAAUCAAAGUAUUGAGUGUGAUUUCUGCCCGAUGUUGGUAGGUUAACGGAUUUUCUUAGUUACUCAUUUAAGGCUAGGUUUUGAAGGAAACCCCAAUCAAUGGCGGCCUUACCGAUGAGGGUCCUAAGGUAGCGGAAUACCCUGGCCGUUAAAUGCGGUCUUGCAUGAAUGAUUUAACGAUACAACAGCUGUCUCAAUGAUUGUCUCAGUGAAAUUGGAAUAACUGUGCAGAUACAGUUUACCUCUAGUUAGACGAGAAGACCCUAUGCAGCUUUACUGUUACUAGUAAUUGAAUAUGUAUAGAUAAGUAUUAGCGUAUAAGGUAAUUGAUGAGAUAUAGUUGAAACACCUUUACUUUUUUUGUCAUAUUAAUAAGAAUCAUAAAGAAUGUGACACAGUAGCUCGACAAUUGGCCACCAUCCUAUCUCUCUAACUUGAUUAGAUAAGAAGUGCGUGUGAUAUUUAGUUUGUUACUUUCUGGUUUCCUUAGUUAGCGAUGAACUAAUUAUUAAAUGCUACCGAAGUUAGCAAUUGAAGGGCGUAGCUGUGUAAACUGGUUUAGGGGGUGGACACCUGUAGACGGUUAGAGUAUCUAUUUUAGAGGAUUUUAAAAUAAAUACAGUUUAAUUGAAAAUUUAUGUAGCUUAUUCUACACGAUUGAAAGCUGUGUUACACAGUUAGAAAACAUUUGCUAGUGGAUAGUUUAUGCGGGGCACAGAUCCCAUAAACAGUACCUGGGUGUAUCCAAAGUUAAUCUCGUAACUUCAAUAAAUAUGUAUUAACUUUAUACAUGUAUAUUGAACCAUUGUAUUAUGUAAUUUUUAAUACAUAUAUACAUAUUUUAAUCUGCUAUAAGUAAAAAUGUUAUUUAUUCAGUUACCAUUCUAUUGAGUUAGAUUCAUUAAUUUUUUUCAGUAAGAUUUUAACUAUAUGGAAAAUAGAUGUAAUACUUAAUUGUUUAGUUUCUUUUUAUUAGAGAGAUUUGAUGAUACUGAUAUAUACUUUAAAAGUUUAAUGGCUUAAUCUUGCUUUACUGUUUGACCUACAAGUCUUUCAG